CCAUGUGGACAAAAAGAUGCAGUAGAGAGAUCAUGAGAUUUGGAAUCAGGAAAACGCCUGGGUUCUAGUCUAGACUCUGCUAUUCCUGGCUUUGUGACUCACAGCAAUUUGCUUCAUCUCUCCGAUCCAAGUUUCCUGUAAAUAUCUUCUAAAGUAGUGACAUAAAUGGCAUUUCAGGCAGGAAGCAGAGAAAUGGUGGCCAAGUGACCAUUAACUGAUGAUGUUGGAAUCAUCUUUGACAGCUGCUGCUUCUCUAGAUGCAGUAGCAGCCAUCGUGGAAAAUGGUCAUGGGACUGAACCUUUCUGCUACGAAGAACUAGAAAGCUGGACAAAGUGUAUGAAUAAACUGUUUUCUCAUGUUGGGCCACAGAGAGCACAGGGCUGUGAUACUUGAGAUCAGGAAGACACCAUGUUUCACUACAGCUUUCUGCCUGAGACCACCAUUCAAACUUCAGCACAAGGCAGCCAAAGCCAUUUUAGGAUGGUGAGAGACAUGCCGCCAGCACAUUGGAAAUGCGUCUCUGGUGGACAGGAAACAGUAUGAGUCACACUCGAAGUUCUCUGUUGUUCGGAAGGGGUGAAACCGCUUUGACUUCAGGAGGACUGAAGGUGUUAGGAGCUGCUUGGCAUUUUGACUGUGUUUCUGAGACGAAUAUGUAUGUACGACUGCCUGGGGAGAAACCACACACAACAGAGCCUGAAGCUACUAACACCAGGUCAGUCAGGAAGCUCUGGAAGUUUGAUGGAAACUCAUGCAAUAUGAGAAAGACUUGACCAGCUAUGGCUAGCUUUGAAAGUGGAAGGCGGCCAGGAGCCAAGGAAUGUGGGCAGCCUUAGAAGCUGAGAAGAUUUAUUUAUUUGAGAAGAAGAGAGCAC